rnacentral:lncRNA from 1 species
CCUUGCCAACCAGCAGCUCCCUUGGUAGGGGCAUGCAGAAGACCUGAUGACACAAACCCUCCAAAGAGUUUCACCCUCACCACAACAGGUGGCUUCCUGCUCGGCAGCCCAUCCUGCAUCACUUCAGUGGACUUCUCUGACAUCUACUAGACCACAUUAAAUGAAUCACAGCCUUGAAACUGAACUGGAAGGACUUCCUUCAAGGAGCCAGCAUAUGAACUUGCUGCCUAUCUUUAGCAAGGAGAUGCAAAUGACAUCCACAAACCUCUUCUGCUGUAUACCUGGAUGAAAGCAAGGCUAGCUGUGUGUCCUAUGGCACCAAGGACUGAAAGAUUGUAAGAAGUAAGAGGGAAAGUGAUCCAAAAAGGUGGAACACCUAAUGUACAGCCCCAAGGAAGGAGCAUACUUGGAGAAUUCAAGGAACAGAAAGAAAAACAGGAAGGCUGGAGUGAAACUGAUUAAAUAAAGCAUCGUAACAUUAGAGGUCCAUCAUAGAGGCCAAGCCAAAUACAACUAUGUUUUCAAGCAUAAGAUGGAUAGAUGUGGUAAACCACAAGAAGCAAACAGCCCUUUAGAGGUGUGGAUUGACCUUGCAGAGUUACAAGUGGAGCCAGGAGAAAUCAUGUUGAGUGGGACUUCUCAUCCUACCUAAGAGAGACUAACAGAUGGAAAGCUGGGUACAGAAGGGAGAGAAGGCAGUAACAGUCAGAUUUCAAUACGCUGAGACUGUGACGUGGGACUUUUGAGUGAGUAACAUCUGCUCCUAGAACUGAGUUGAGUGGGGAUCCUCCCACACCACCCAGGCAAGAGAACUAACAAUUGAUGACUGCUCCAAAUCAGUCGCCAGUCUACCUAAUACUUCUACCUGGUAGGUAGCCUGAUACCCACUAACAUCAGACAGAGCCUCACUCUGUCACCCAGGCUGGAGUGCUAGAGUGCAGUGGCAUGAUCAUAGCUCCCUGAAGCCUUGAGCUCCUGGUCCCAAGAGAUCCUCUUGCCUCAGCUUUGCCAGAAGUGCUCUUCCUCUCUGUCCAGUGGGCAAGCACCAAUUCAUUUUCAAACUCUCCACUGAAGCAUCAAUUUUCUGUAAUGCCUUUCUUGACCUCAGGUCUUGCUCUGUUGCCUGGCCUGAAGUGCAGUGGCAUGAUCAUGGCUCACUGCAGCCUCAACCUCCCAGGCACAAGUGAUCCUCCCACCUCAACUUCCAGAAUAUAGAAGCUGGAACUACAGUGACCUACAUCCAAAGUGAAAAGUUAUUCAGCCUCUGAAGAGAAGCAUUUUGUUUGGGGAUCUUCAAGUAUGCUUGUCAGCACCGAGAACUGGAAAAAAAUCUCUGAUUGUCCUGCAGCAAUGGCAUUAAAGGCUCCUCAUAACAUACAGAACCAGAAUUGUGCCAUAAUUUACUGAAAUUGAACAUUGCUCUGUGACUGCUAAUUUUCCAUCGAGAUGAUUCUGUCUCUAACCAAGAAAAGAAAAGUUUGUCUUCCUGACUGCUGACACUGCUGACCAAGCCCACCACCAGAUGCCUGGCUGCACACCCAGAGGGCAGCCGCUUCCCGUGGUCCUCUCGAAGAACUUCCCUUUUGCAAUGCAUGUUUAGCAAGUGGAUGAGUUUGUCUUUUCUGAUUUCUCUGCAAGCUCUGCAUUGCCCACCUGAACCAGUGCUUCAGAAGAACUAAUGGGAUCUCUGACCCUCCAACAUCCUCUUCCAGACUUUCACUUUCCUGGCUCCUUGCAGGGACAUGUAAUAAACGUGCUCUCCAGAGA